ensembl:lncRNA
GGUUGACUACCCUACGCCACUUCCCGACGGGGACGGUGGAGAGUUGCGAGUUAGAGUCUCGGCAACCAGUCGGGUUAGAGGCCCGAGGACUUAGGGGCACCUCGAAGUAUUUAUUGUGUGUAAAGGUUCAUCUGGGUUAGAGUCCCGGGGAGUUUUAGAACUCCCCAAAUUCUGUAUCUGGGUUAGAGUCCCGGGGAGUUUUAGAACUCCCCAAAUUCUGUAUCUGGGUUAGAGUCCCGGGGAGUUUUGGAACUCCCCAAAUUCUGUAUCUGGGUUAGAGUCCCGGGGAGUUUUAGAACUCCCCAAAUUCUGUAUCUGGGUUAGAGUCCCGGGGAGUUUUGGAACUCCCCAAAUUCUGUAUCUGGGUUAGAGUCCCGGGGAGGUUUAGAACUCCCCAAAUUCUGUAUCUGGGUUAGAGUCCCGGGGAGUUUUAUAACUCCCCAAAUUCUGUAUUGGGUUAGAGUCCCGGGGAGGUUUAGAACUCCCCAAAUUCUGUAUUGGGUUAGAGUCCCGGGGAGUUUUAGAACUCCCCAAAUUCUGUAUCUGGGUUAGAGUCCCGGGGAGUUUUAUAACUCUCCAAAUUCUGUAUUGGGUUAGAGUCCCGGGGAGUUUUAUAACUCCCCAAAUUCUGUAUCUGGGUUAGAGUCCCGGGGAGUUUUAGAACUCCCCAAAUUCUGUAUCUGGGUUAGAGUCC